CCGGGACUCUGGUUCGGUUCCCGGGGUUUCGGACUCAGGGUUCGGGGACUCUGGCUUCGGCUCCCGGAGUUUCGGAC
rnacentral:tRNA from 1 species